rnacentral:rRNA from 1 species
GACGAACCGUGCGAACGUUAUUCGGAAUCACUGGGCUUAAAGCGCGUGUAGGCGGGACGGCACGUCGGUCGCUGAAAUCCCCCGGCUCAACCGGGGAACGGGCGCCGAUACGACCGCCCUGGAGGGACGUAGGGGGACCUGGAACUUCCGGUGGAGCGGUGAAAUGCGUUGAGAUCGGAAGGAACGCCCGUGGCGAAAGCGAGGUCCUGGACGUUUACUGACGCUGAGACGCGAAAGCCAGGGGAGCGAACGGG